CCUACGGGUGGCAGCAGUGAGGAAUAUUGGUCAAUGGUCGGGAGCCUGAACCAGCCAAGCCGCGUGAGGGAUGAAGGUACAGAGUAUCGUAAACCUCUUUUGUCAGGGAACAAAGGAGGGGACGUGUCCCCGGCUGAGUGUACCUGAAGAAAAAGCAUCGGCUAACUCCGUGCCAGCAGCCGCGGUAAUCCGGAGGAUGCGAGCGGUAUCCGGAUUUAUUGGGUUUAAAGGGGUCGCAGGAGGUCUGUUCAGUCCGGAGGCAAAGGCUGGGGCUCAACCCCGGCCCUGCCGUUGAACUGGGGAGUCUCGAGUGGGAGAGAGGGAGGCGGAAUGCGCGGUGUAGCGGUGAAAUGCAUAGAUAUCGCGAAGAACUCCGAUUGCGAAGGCAGCAUGUCGGAUCCACACUGACGCUGAGGCACGAAAGCGUGGGUAUCGAACAGGAUUAGAUACCCUGGUAGUC
rnacentral:rRNA from 1 species